rnacentral:tRNA from 2 species
CCAGUGUUAGCUCAGUUGGAAGAGCAGUGGAUUGUAGUAGUAUGAUAUAGAUCUCCACGGGUCGGGUGUUCGAAUCAUCCACACUGGA